rfam:Spiribacter salinus M19-40, complete genome.
GGAGAGGUGGCUGAGUGGUCGAAAGCGCCGCACUCGAAAUGCGGUGAACCGAAAGGUUCCGGGGGUUCGAAUCCCUCCCUCUCCG